rnacentral:piRNA from 1 species
UCAGAUGUCCAAUGUUGUUCUCCCUCA